rnacentral:rRNA from 1 species
CUAACAAGGAUUCCCUCAGUAACGGCGAGUGAAGCGGGAGGAGCUCAAAUUUGAAAUCUCCGAUGCUUGCAUCGGCGAGUUGUAAUUGCGAGAAGCACUUUCUAGGCGGAUCGGUGGUGCCUAAGUUGCUUGGAACAGCACGUCGCAGAGGGUGACAACCCCGUCUGUGGCGCGACCGGCCGCUGACGAUGUGCUUUCGAAGAGUCGGGUUGUUUGGGAAUGCAGCCCAAAAUGGGUGGUAAACUCCAUCUAAAGCUAAAUACUGGCGUGAGACCGAUAGCGAAGGAAACGAAGGACUCAGCAAUGCGCCGUUUGAGAUUCAGCCGGUGGGCGGCCUNNNCGCGGGGUUUGCGGAUCUGAAUGGACCGCGGCCCGGCGCUCGCGGCCUCCCGCCGUCGCACUUCUCUUGGGCGCGCGUAACGUCGGUUGGGACUGGGUCUGAAAGGUGCCGGGAAGGUAGGUGUGGGCCCUCGGGUCCGUUCUGUUACAGCCCGGCUCUCUCCUGGCUCGGGCCCGACCGAGGCGUUGCAGGGCAUGCCUCUUGUGGCUAGGGUCCCGUCCUUCCGGCCGGCUGUCGACUGCGGUGGACUGCUUGCAGUGCUCGGCGACGCUGCCGGUCGUGGGG